AAUGGAGGAAACUCUGAUGCAGCGAUGCCGCGUGAGUGAAGAAGGCCCUUGGGUUGUAAAGCUCUUUCGUCGGGGAAGAAAAUGACUGUACCCGAAUAAGAAGGUCCGGCUAACUUCGUGCCAGCAGCCGCGGUAAUACGAAGGGACCUAGCGUAGUUCGGAAUUACUGGGCUUAAAGAGUUCGUAGGUGGUUGAAAAAGUUAGUGGUGAAAUCCCAGAGCUUAACUCUGGAACUGCCAUUAAAACUUUUCAGCUAGAGUAUGAUAGAGGAAAGCAGAAUUUCUAGUGUAGAGGUGAAAUUCGUAGAUAUUAGAAAGAAUACCAAUUGCGAAGGCAGCUUUCUGGAUCAUUACUGACACUGAGGAACGAAAGCAUGGGUAGCGAAGAGGAUU
rnacentral:rRNA from 1 species